UAUAAUUGAGCUCCUAUACUUUUAAAAGUACCAAGUCAUUGCUACUUGUAAGUUUUAGGCCCUUGGAUUAAGGGAUGUGCGGUUAGGAUGAUGUGGGCCCCUUAGGGUUGAGUGGGUGGUUGGUUGAAUAGUAUAAUCUAACGGAUAAAAAUGAUCAAAAGCGUAGAUCUAACAGUAAAAUAUUUACAAGCACCAAGUGCUUGGUGCUUUUAUAAGUACCAUAGCCGAACUCUAUAUAUAUAUAUAGAGAGAGAGAGGGAGAGAGUGUCUGGUUGUGAUACUAUCUAUAGCACCAAGCGUUUAGUGCUAUCAAGUUUUCGGCCGUUAGAUUUAACCCUUUGACUAUUUUUAUCCGUUAGAUUAUACUAUUAAACUAAUAACUUCACUCAACCCUAAUGGACCCACAUCAUCCUAAUAACCAAGCGUUUAGUGCUAUCAAGUUUUUGGCCGUUAGAUUUAACCCUUUGACUAUUUUUAUCCGUUAGAUUAUACUAUUAAACUAAUAACUCACUCAACCCUAAGGGGCCCACAUUAUCCUAACUAUACAUUUUUUCAUCGAAAGGCCGAAAACCUAAUAGCAGCAAUAACUUGAUGCUAUUGAUAGUAUUCCAGCCUAGUUCUAUAUUUUUUAAAUUUAAAAUUUGAUAUUUGAUAUUUUUAAAUUUAAAUUUAAUUUUAAAUUUAAAAUUUAUAACUUUAAAUUUUUGAAUUUGUGAUUUAAAAUUUAAAAUUUUAUUUUAAAAUUAUUAAUUUUUAAAAAUAUAUAUUUAAAUUUUAAAUUUUAAAUUUUAAAUAUAAAAUUUAAAAAUUUAAAUUCAAAUAUAAGGGGCAAUAUCAUUAUUUUCUAUUUAUAACUACCCACUAUUCUUCGUAUUCCAUUUUAUCUUUCAAAAUGUUAUUUUUGUUAUUCUCGAAAACAACUCAAUUUUCAUCAAAACACAAAAUUAGUCUAUUCCCUGAACUUAUACAUAUCCCUGAAAUAACUAGUUCUUACUUAACUCUAAACCAAACGAAGUAUAGGAGAAUAAUAUUAAUCCAAGAGUUAGAAAUGGUAAAGAUUGAUCUAUCGGCUAAAACGUCGAAAGUACCAACUCCUUUAUCCUUCUGUAAGCACUAUAGUGGAACUCAAUAUUCAAUAUAUAGUUAAAUUUUAACUCUAAAUUUAAGAUAAAAUAAAAAUUCAAAUCAAAUAAUAUUAAAAAUAAAUAUAUAUUUGAAAUUAAAUCCAAAUUUGAUUGUUGGUUGAAAUUAAAAAAAAAAGUAAAAAUAAAAACUAAAUAUUAUUGAAAUAUUUAAAAUUUAAAAUUUAAAGUUAAUUUUAAAUUUUGAAUUAAAAUAUAUUAGUCAUUUUUAAAAUAAUGAACCAAACUUAACAUUUAAAGUCUAUUUGAUCGGCUUAUUUUUAAAUUAUUCUAUUUUUAAAGCCAAAUUUGUUUUUAGUUAAUCAGUUAAUUGAUAAAUAGUGGAUACUACAAAUAUUUUCUAUCUAAAUUUAAUAAAAAAAUUUUUGUUCAAAGAGCAUGAAAUAUUCAUUUAUAGGGCGCGUGUGAAGAAUAUUUUAGAAUAGAUAUCCUCUGAGGCGGAAAUUUAGAUAAGCGUGAAUAUUUUUUCUAUUUUCGUAAAUAAAAUGCAAUAUUUUUUCUGCUUAAAAUAGAUCUGUUAGUAAUUAUUUUAACAAUUAUCUCAAAUCAAUAUAAAUUUGUGCAUUAUAUUUAUCCAAAAAUUUACAAUUAAAUUUUAUUUUUUUAAAAAAAUUAAUUGUUAUAUUUUAUUUAAAAAUAUCAGUUAACCAAAAUUUAAAUAUAUGUUUUAAACUAAAAGUUUCAAAAUUUUAAUUCAUGUUUAAUUCAAAAUUUAAAAUCAAAUUUUUAUCCACUUUAAUAAAAAAAUUAAUUAUUAAUUCAAAUUUAAUAUUCAAAAAUAAAUCUAGUUCAUAAUUUAAACUCUAAUUUGAAUUUAUAAAUUCAAAAUUUUACAUUUAAAUUAUAUAAUUAAAUUUUAACUCUAAAUUUUAGAUAAAUAAAAAUUUAAAGUCAAACAAUAUUAAAAUUUUGGUAUAUAUUCGAAAUUAAAUUUAAAUUUGAUUAUUGAUAGCAAUUAAUAAAAGGUUAAUACAAUAAUAAAAUAUUAGUAGAUAGUAGAUAGAAUAGAGGUAAUCAAUA
rnacentral:lncRNA from 1 species